GCUCUGCCUUCUAGGAUAUCAUGGCUUUAGAUACUAGGCUAAUCAUUAAACAUUUUACCAGCUCAUUAACAGAUUUGCCUAAUCAAUAUGUGACAUUAUCCUUCCUAAGGUCAGACUGAAAACUAAUUUAAGUCUUUUUAAUAUUCAUAGUUUCAAUUUGUGCAGUAACAGUCAAUACCAGCCCUUCUCAACCGUAGUUCAACAGAAUUAACCCUUAAUUCCUAAGGCACCUAUAGUAUGUAAUGAAUUAAUUUCUCUUCUAUGCAUCUAGAAUGUACCAUCCUUGGAAGUAAGCAGUUACUUAAAUCACUUCCUGCAGGAAUUAAUUCUCUUGAAGAAUCCUGGUUGUGAAGGGCUGAUCUUCACAUUCUCAGAUAACAGAAUUACAAAUCUCUGGCAUUUAUGAAUUAAAGUUGUACUGCAAAGAUGUUCAAGAUAUCAAUUUCAGCUCAAUUCUUGUCUAGUUAUUAAGAACAUCAACAAAAAAAGAAGGCUAUCUGAAUGGAUUUUUAAUAGAGCUUGUGUUUAUUCUGACUCAACCGUGUGCAGUUCCUCCACUAUUGACUCGUAUCAAGGAAACAGCGAGUGUGUUGAAUUAUUUGGAACGUUCAGAGAAGAAUUUGACCAGCAGGCUGUCAUACAAUGUAAACAGCAUGAGGGCCUGUUGGCUUCAUGGAGGGGAUAUCUGGUUUCUCAACAGGUUCUGGAGGUGGAGAACAGAAGGAGCUGAAGGGCUUUUGCCUGUGGUGUAAGCAGAUAAUGGCACUUCAGCUGCUUCUCUACAAAGGCAGGAGGUCUGACUUAGCAAUUUGGUGAGAGAGUUCUCAUUUCUUAAUAUCUAUAUCAUUAGUUGACAGAUGGCUCUCUGUCUGAAAUCUUAUUUUGAGAAGCUACCUCCUGCUAGAUAAUCUCCUUAAACUGUAAAUCACUAGUGGAAUGAAUUUCAGUUCCUUAAGUUCUGGAUGAAUAUACUAAAAGUUAUCCCCUGCUGCAAUUUGCAGAGCACAUUGUUGUAAUAUUUAUUGGGCAUUUACUAUGUCUCAAACCUUUUGCUAGGAACUGGGUUAUGACAGAAAUUAAGAAAGACACUGUCCUUAUUUUUCAACGACAGUCAAUAAAUUAGGUUGUGGGUACAAAUACUCUACUUUUCAAGAAGAUCGUGACUGAAGUUCUGUCCUUGUUCUUCAUCUUUUUAGGUGAAAAAAGAGGCAUUUUAUAGGUUGUAAGAACCUUUUUUUCCUAUAAAAAUUGUAGUCACUUUUUUCUCUAUCAGAAGUGUAGUCAACCUCUCUAGUUAGCUUUUUCAGACCAUAGCUUCUCAACUUGGGAAUACAAGGGAGGUCAGAGAGAACUUCCCUUGGAGUUUUGAAGGCCAGUUAUUACAGAUGUGUCUAAUAAAC
rnacentral:lncRNA from 1 species